GAGGAGGAGGAGGAGGAGGAGGAGGAGGAGGAGGAGGAGGAGGAGGAGGAAAUGGUUGAGAAAAGUGGAAUGACCCUUUCGCUGAUAACACUUUUUUUUUUUACUCAAAAAGGAGUGAUGAUAGAGUGUUCCACGGGUUGUGCAGAAACAACCUCUUCCUCUCUACACCCAAAAACAAAACAAAAAAGGUCCAUUCCAAAUCUGAUAACCAGAACAGCCUGGUGGGAAACAACGACAGACUUAUUACUGGACUUGGAGAGGAUAACCAAAAGGAUGGAAGAAAACUAAUGAUAAAAACACAUGAAACAUUGAGGAAGGGAACAUGUACAUGUUCCCUUCCUCAAUGUUUCAUGUGUUUUAUCAUUUGUUUGGGAACAUUACACCCAACCAGUAAACCAGUAAGAAACGUUCAAUAUUGGGGGCAAAUUGGCCUCCGGGAAGAAAGAGAUUUUAUACAUUCUGAACAUUCCUCUGAUGCCCGUGUUUUUGGACUGCGGCUAAGCGAUGGCUCUGAGCAUACAAAAAUGGCCGGUUCCUGCCAAAUGACUACUCUUGGACAUGUGAUAAAAAGAGAAAAACAAUUGUGACAUACA